rnacentral:rRNA from 1 species
CCUACGGGUGGCACCAGUGGGGAAUAUUGCACAAUGGGCGCAAGCCUGAUGCAGCCAUGCCGCGUGUAUGAAGAAGGCCUUCGGGUUGUAAAGUACUUUCAGCGGGGAGGAAGGUGUUGAGGUUAAUAACCUCAGCAAUUGACGUUACCCGCAGAAGAAGCACCGGCUAACUCCGUGCCAGCAGCCGCGGUAAUACGGAGGGUGCAAGCGUUAAUCGGAAUUACUGGGCGUAAAGCGCACGCAGGCGGUCUGUCAAGUCGGAUGUGAAAUCCCCGGGCUCAACCUGGGAACUGCAUUCGAAACUGGCAGGCUAGAGUCUUGUAGAGGGGGGUAGAAUUCCAGGUGUAGCGGUGAAAUGCGUAGAGAUCUGGAGGAAUACCGGUGGCGAAGGCGGCCCCCUGGACAAAGACUGACGCUCAGGUGCGAAAGCGUGGGGAGCAAACAGGAUUAGAUAC